CUACCUUCACAGCAUCGAUCCUCCCAACUCCUAAGCUUAAGCUCAGCUUCGCCCAACACAUCACCGGCCAAAAUGUGGCAGUCCAAGCCAGUCCUGCUCCUGCUCCUGCUCGCCGUCACCACGGCGGCGACCAGCGGUAAGCCGCUGCUCACGAAGAUCACCAAGGGUGCCGCGUCCACGGCGCUCUACACCGCGCCCCUCAGCGCCGGCCGCCCGCUGGUCCUCGACCUGUCCGCCCCGGCCAUCACGACGCCGUGCAGCGGGCAGACGACGACCGUCACGCUCUCCGCCAACUCCACCGACGGCAGCAACCCGCUGUCCCCGGUCUCCUUCGCUGCCACCGCCACCUGUGCGGCGGCCCCCUCCGGCGCCGUCGGCGUCGCGGGGCUCGCGCGCUCUAGCGCAUCGUUCCCGGCACAGGUCGCCAGUACACAGAAGGUGGCCAACUCGUUCGCGCUCUGCCUCCCGAGCGACGGCAGGACCGGGUUCAGCGGCAACGGCGUGGGCGCGGCCAUCUUCGGUGGCGGCCCGUUCUUCCUCGCGCCCCCGGCGGACCGGCCGUCCAUUACGACGCUCCUCUCCGACGGCGUCCCGCUCCGCCAGCCCUUCGCCGGGAACCCCGGCUACUUCGUGACCGCCACCAACGGCAUCGCCAUCGACGGGACGCGCGUGACCGUGUCCGGCUCCGGUGCGCUUGUGGUCGGCCUCUCCACCACGAUCCCCUACGCGCAGCUCCGGAGCGACGUGUACCGCCCCUUCAUCACGGCCUUCGACCGCGCCAUGGGAUCCAGCGCCAAGGUGGCGGCGGUGAAGCCAUUCGAGCUGUGCUACGACUCGUCCAAGCUGGCGCCGACGCGGUUCGGGUACCUGGUGCCGAACGUGUGGACGUGAUGCUGGAGGGCGGGACGAACUGGACGGUGGUGGGCGGCAACUCCAUGGCGCAGGUGAACAGCGGCACGGCGUGCUUCGCGUUCGUCCGGUCGGGAGGCAGCACGGGGGGCGCGACGCCGGCGCUGGUGAUCGGAGGGUUCCAGAUGGAGAACAAGCUGGUGGUGCUGGACAACGGCAAGAAGACGCUCAGCUUCACCCAGAACCUCCCGGGCAUGGGCUUCUCCUGCAGCAACUUCAAUUUCACCAGAGGGCCGGCUAGUGAUCCACAUCGUUUGUUGCAUGCUGUGCGUACCAGGGCUCUAUGUUGAAACAAUAAAGGAUAUAAAAUACUAAAUCCAAUUGAAGUGACACUUUGUUUACGCUGUUAAUAUUAGUCAAGAUAUGAAUUGUAUGGAGGCACUAUGGCAAAUUUGUUUACACUUUUGUUUACGCGAUGAUGACAAAUUUAGUUUGCAA